rnacentral:rRNA from 1 species
AUGAACGCUAGCGACAGGCUUAACACAUGCAAGUCGAGGGGCAGCACAGGUAGCAAUACCGGGUGGCGACCGGCGCACGGGUGAGUAACGCGUAUGCAACUUACCUAUCAGAGGGGGAUAACCCGGCGAAAGUCGGACUAAUACCGCAUGAAGCAGGGGCCCCGCAUGGGGAUAUUUGCUAAAGAUUCAUCGCUGAUAGAUAGGCAUGCGUUCCAUUAGGCAGUUGGCGGGGUAACGGCCCACCAAACCGACGAUGGAUAGGGGUUCUGAGAGGAAGGUCCCCCACAUUGGUACUGAGACACGGACCAAACUCCUACGGGAGGCAGCAGUGAGGAAUAUUGGUCAAUGGCCGAGAGGCUGAACCAGCCAAGUCGCGUGAGGGAUGAAGGUUCUAUGGAUCGUAAACCUCUUUUAUAAGGGAAUAAAGUGCGGGACGUGUCCCGUUUUGUAUGUACCUUAUGAAUAAGGAUCGGCUAACUCCGUGCCAGCAGCCGCGGUAAUACGGAGGAUCCGAGCGUUAUCCGGAUUUAUUGGGUUUAAAGGGUGCGUAGGCGGCCUUUUAAGUCAGCGGUGAAAGUCUGUGGCUCAACCAUAGGAUUGCCGUUGAAACUGGGGGGCUUGAGUAUGUUUGAGGCAGGCGGAAUGCGUGGUGUAGCGGUGAAAUGCAUAGAUAUCACGCAGAACCCCGAUUGCGAAGGCAGCCUGCCAAGCCAUUACUGACGCUGAUGCACGAAAGCGUGGGGAUCAAACAGGAUUAGAUACCCUGGUAGUCCACGCAGUAAACGAUGAUCACUAGCUGUUUGCGAUACACUGUAAGCGGCACAGCGAAAGCGUUAAGUGAUCCACCUGGGGAGUACGCCGGCAACGGUGAAACUCAAAGGAAUUGACGGGGGCCCGCACAAGCGGAGGAACAUGUGGUUUAAUUCGAUGAUACGCGAGGAACCUUACCCGGGUUUGAACGCAUUCGGACCGAGGUGGAAACACCUUUUCUAGCAAUAGCCGUUUGCGAGGUGCUGCAUGGUUGUCGUCAGCUCGUGCCGUGAGGUGUCGGCUUAAGUGCCAUAACGAGCGCAACCCUUGCCACUAGUUACUAACAGGUAAAGCUGAGGACUCUGGUGGGACUGCCAGCGUAAGCUGCGAGGAAGGCGGGGAUGACGUCAAAUCAGCACGGCCCUUACAUCCGGGGCGACACACGUGUUACAAUGGCGUGGACAAAGGGAAGCCACCUGGCGACAGGGAGCGAAUCCCCAAACCACGUCUCAGUUCGGAUCGGAGUCUGCAACCCGACUCCGUGAAGCUGGAUUCGCUAGUAAUCGCGCAUCAGCCAUGGCGCGGUGAAUACGUUCCCGGGCCUUGUACACACCGCCCGUCAAGCCAUGGGAGCCGGGGGUACCUGAAGUCCGUAACCGCGAGGAUCGGCCUAGGGUAAAACUGGUGACUGGGGCU